rnacentral:rRNA from 1 species
UACGUAGGCAGCAAGCGUUGUUCGGAGUUACUGGGCGUAAAGGGCGUGUAGGCGGUUCUUUAAGUUUGGUGUGAAAUCUCCCGGCUCAACUGGGAGGGUGCGCCGAAUACUGAGGGACUAGAGUACGGGAGAGGAAAGUGGAAUUCCUGGUGUAGCGGUGAAAUGCGUAGAUAUCAGGAGGAACACCGGUGGUGUAGACGGCUUUCUGGACCGUAACUGACGCUGAGACACGAAAGCGUGGGUAGCAAACAGG